rnacentral:rRNA from 1 species
UACGUAGGGCGCAAGCGUUUGUCCGGAAUUAUUGGGCGUAAAGAGCUCGUAGGCGGUUUGUCGCGUCUGCUGUGAAAACCUAAGGCUCAACCUUGGGCUUGCAGUGGGUACGGGCAGACUAGAGUGCGGUAGGGGUGACUGGAAUUCCUGGUGUAGCGGUGGAAUGCGCAGAUAUCAGGAGGAACACCGGUGGCGAAGGCGGGUCUCUGGGGCCGAUACUGACGCUGAGGAGCGAAAGCGUGGGGAGCAAACAGG